rnacentral:rRNA from 1 species
GACGAACGCUGGCGGCGUGCUUAACACAUGCAAGUCGAACGGAAAGGCCCUGCUUUUGUGGGGUGCUCGAGUGGCGAACGGGUGAGGAACACGUAAGUAACCUGCCCUUGACUUUGGGAUAACUUCAGGAAACUGGGGCUAAUACCGGAUAGGAUCUCCUGCUGCAUGGUGGGGGUUGGAAAGUUUCGGCGGUUGGGGAUGGACUCGCGGCUUAUCAGCUUGUUGGUGGGGUAGUGGCUUACCAAGGCUUUGACGGGUAGCCGGCCUGGGAGGGGGACCGGCCACAAUGGGCCUGAGAUACGGCCCAGACUCCUACGGGAGGCAGCGGUGGGGAAUAUUGCACAAUGGGAGGAAGCCUGAUGCGGCAGCGCCGCGUGCGGGAUGACGGCCUUCGGGUUGUGAACCGCUUUCGCCUGUGACGAAGCGUGAGUGACGGUAAUGGGUAAAGAAGCACCGGCUAACUACGUG